AGUCGAGGGGCAGCAUGGUCUUAGCUUGCUAAGGCCGAUGGCGACCGGCGCACNGGUGAGUAACACGUAUCCAACCUGCCGUCUACUCUUGGACAGCCUUCUGAAAGGAAGAUUAAUACAAGAUGGCAUCAUGAGUCCACAUGUUCACAUGAUUAAAGGUAUUCCGGUAGACGAUGGGGAUGCGUUCCAUUAGAUAGUAGGCGGGGUAACGGCCCACCUAGUCUUCGAUGGAUAGGGGUUCUGAGAGGAAGGUCCCCCACAUUGGAACUGAGACACGGUCCAAACUCCUACGGGAGGCAGCAGUGAGGAAUAUUGGUCAAUGGGCGAGAGCCUGAACCAGCCAAGUAGCGUGAAGGAUGACUGCCCUAUGGGUUGUAAACUUCUUUUAUAAAGGAAUAAAGUCGGGUAUGCAUACCCGUUUGCAUGUACUUUAUGAAUAAGGAUCGGCUAACUCCGUGCCAGCAGCCGCGGUAAUACGGAGGAUCCGAGCGUUAUCCGGAUUUAUUGGGUUUAAAGGGAGCGUAGAUGGAUGUUUAAGUCAGUUGUGAAAGUUUGCGGCUCAACCGUAAAAAUUGCAGUUGAUACUGGAUAUCUUGAGUGCAGUUGAGGCAGGCGGAAUUCGUGGUGUAGCGGUGAAAUGCUUAGAUAUCACGAAGAACUCCGAUUGCGAAGGCAGCCUGCUAAGCUGCAACUGACAUUGAGGCUCGAAAGUGUGGGUAUCAAACAGGAUUAGAUACCCUGGUAGUCCACACGGUAAACGAUGAAUACUCGCUGUUUGCGAUAUACAGCAAGCGGCCAAGCGAAAGCGUUAAGUAUUCCACCUGGGGAGUACGCCGGCAACGGUGAAACUCAAAGGAAUUGACGGGGGCCCGCACAAGCCGGAGGAACAUGUGGUUUAAAUUCGAUGAUACGCGAGGAACCUUACCCGGCCUUAAAUUGCAAAUGAAUUACGGUGAAAGCCGUAAGCCGCAAGGCAUCUGUGAAGGUGCUGCAUGGUUGUCGUCAGCUCGUGCCGUGAGGUGUCGGCUUAAGUGCCAUAACGAGCGCAACCCUUGUUGUCAGUUACUAACAGGUUCCGCUGAGGACUNUGACAAGACUGCCAUCGUAAGAUGUGAGGAAGGUGGGGAUGACGUCAAAUCAGCACGGCCCUUACGUCCGGGGCUACACACGUGUUACAAUGGGGGGGUACAGAGGGCCGCUACCACGCGAGUGGAUGCCAAUCCCAAAAACCUCUCUCAGUUCGGACUGGAGUCUGCAACCCGACUCCACGAAGCUGGAUUCGCUAGUAAUCGNGCAUCAGCCACGGCGCGGUGAAUACGUUCCCGGGCCUUGUAAAANNGCGCCCGUCAAGCCAUGGGAGCCGGGGGUACCUGAAGUGCGUAACCCGCGAGGAG
rnacentral:rRNA from 1 species